rnacentral:rRNA from 1 species
GACGAACGCUGGCGGCGUGCCUAAUACAUGCAAGUAGAACGCUGAAGGAGGAGCUUGCUUCUCUGGAUGAGUUGCGAACGGGUGAGUAACGCGUAGGUAACCUGCCUGGUAGCGGGGGAUAACUAUUGGAAACGAUAGCUAAUACCGCAUAAUAGUAGAUGUUGCAUGACAUUUGCUUAAAAGGUGCAAUUGCAUCACUACCAGAUGGACCUGCGUUGUAUUAGCUAGUUGGUGGGGUAACGGCUCACCAAGGCGACGAUACAUAGCCGACCUGAGAGGGGGUUCGGCCACGCUGGGACUGGGACACGGCCCAGACUCCUACGGGGGGCAGCAGUAGGGAAUCUUCGGCAAUGGACGGAAGUCUGACCGAGCAACGCCGCGUGAGUGAAGAAGGUUUUCGGAUCGUAAAGCUCUGUUGUAAGAGAAGAACGAGUGUGAGAGUGGAAAGUUCACACUGUGACGGUAUCUUACCAGAAAGGGACGGCUAACUACGUG